GACGAACGCUGGCGGCGUGCCUAAUACAUGCAAGUAGAACGCUGAAGGAGGAGCUUGCUUCUCUGGAUGAGUUGCGAACGGGUGAGUAACGCGUAGGUAACCUGCCUGGUAGCGGGGGAUAACUAUUGGAAACGAUAGCUAAUACCGCAUAAUAGUAGAUGUUGCAUGACAUUUGCUUAAAAGGUGCAAUUGCAUCACUACCAGAUGGACCUGCGUUGUAUUAGCUAGUUGGUGGGGUAACGGCUCACCAAGGCGACGAUACAUAGCCGACAUGAGAGGGUGAUGGGCCACACUGGGACUGUGACACGGCCCAGACUCCUACGGGAGGCAGCAGUAGGGAAUCUUCGGCAAUGGACGGAAGUCUGACCGAGCAACGCCGCGUGAGUGAAGAAGGUUUUCGGAUCGUAAAGCUCUGUUGUAAGAGAAGAACGAGUGUGAGAGUGGAAAGUUCACACUGUGACGGUAUCUUACCAGAAAGGGACGGCUAACUACGUG
rnacentral:rRNA from 1 species